rnacentral:lncRNA from 1 species
CGAUGUUAUUAUAUUUGAUUCAUUACCAGUGUUGGUUCAAAGAGGUUGAUUCGGUUUGCUGUUUGCUAUCAGUUGACAUUUAACUGUUCCCUGAAUGUUUGCCUGCCUUGGAUACUGUUAAUGUCAACGUGUGGUUUGCCUCCACCAAAAGAUGAGAAAUACACGGAAGACAGAGAGCAAAGGAGAAGAAGAAGUAGUGGGAACACAGAUGGAGGUGAGAGGGAAGGACAGACAGAACAGUGAAUGAGAGGAGAGAGGGAGAAGCCUCAAAGAAGUAGAAAGAAGUCGGGUAUAGCGACAGGGAGAGGAGGGAAUCACUCAGUCGUUUCUGCGGAGAGAAAGAGUUCACUGAGCCUGAAAAAAGAAGAAGAGGAGGAACGAGAAGAAGAAGAAGGCUACUGCAGAAAAUGUCAGUUACAACAAAAUCACCUAUGCCCUGUGGCCCGAUCCCGGACAUUUCUGGAACACGGGCAAGUCAGGAUGACAAAAAGUGCUUUUAAGCUUGUUGUCAGUACCUCACAGUAAACCAAUAAAAAAUGAGCCUCUGCUUGGUGGUCUCUCUCGCUCUCGCCUAGUUUCAUGGCUCACUUUGACAUUUGAAUUGUGUUUUGAGGGGUAGACUGCAGGUACUCAGAGGUCCCAAAUGAGUGUAAACACUCAAGGUUAAAGUGUGAAGGUGAGAAGAGAGAAGAGGUCGCAUCUGCAGGUGAGAAUGAAAUGCCAGAUUCCUAUUACGGUGCCGCCCUGGCAGGUGUCAUGCGGAUAAACCCCGGACGAGAAAAGAGGGUGCAGAGAGGGAGGCGAGCGAAGAAGGGAAUGGGGCCGAUCCUACAGAGUACACGGCAGGUCCCUCGUUGUGUGUUAGAGGAGAGGAGUCACAUCCGCAGGUACCAAACUAUUGACUGACAUCAGAGGACACACUGUAAGGACAAUCACAACAACAGCAAGCGCGACCUAAACAACAGGGCUCGUCUACAUCAUAUGCAAGUACAGUGCCUCACACUGUUUUUGUACCCCAUGCACUCAGAAGCGUAAUUUUGUCUUUUUUAGAUGCUCUGAAGACAAAACACAUUUUAUUGCGUGACCUCCUAACCUUCCUUUUAGAAACAAGUUAUUUCGCCAAAUAAAUUGUAUAUGGUUUGAACGUGAAGUAAUAAUGUCAUUUUUCUGUAUAUCUGUUUCCAAGUGCAUUUGGGUGCAUCUCCGAGGACACAUUCAUGAACACACAUGAAUGCAUGGCUGGUGGCUGUCAUUGGCAGGAACACCCACAGGCUAUAUUUUCUAUAAUAAUCCCUCAUUUUACUGUCUAUAUAGUGUGCUCUCUUUGAUGAGAUAUCAUCGACACUGAACGAGACAGUGUGAGUAGGGAACCUAAUUACCUCUGCCCGAUGGACAGAAAAUGAUCACUGUGAAUGUAAUAAGGCUGUUUGCCUGAGAAAACGACUUGGGACUCCCUGUCGCGUUUCGAAUUAGAAAAACGACAGGUUAAAAACCCACCUGUGUCUUCAACUCAGACACUAAUGUGGAGUCAGUGCACUUCUCAUCUUUGCUCUGUUGCUAUCUGUAAAAUUGUCUGUAUCGGUCACGGGCCUGGACCCGCCACGACACUGUUUUGCUUUGAGGAAGUUUUGUCCCCUUAAACUUUUUUUUCCCCCAACUUCUCGUCUACUUGAGCAGUGAUAUCAUUGACAUUCUAAUAAGCCCAUAAAACAACUAUUACUGACUCGGACUGGGUUGGUGGCGGACUGCCUGUUGGGACCACUGGUCUGUUUCCCAGAAGCUAGGUCAUUUUGGACACUAUGAACAAUCACCUUGAAUAAAGAUGAUAUGGUAAUGACAAGCAGGGUUGAGUUGAUAGAGCCCUUAUUAAGCAUGAGUCUCCUGCUCUCACCACCAUGCUGAUCAUACUUGUGCAAACACCGCAAAGCAUGAAACAUCUGCCCACUAUUCCACCACUAACAUUUAAAAUGACAGAAGAAAAGAGGAAGAUCCAAAUAUGGUCAAAGGUCAAAAACACUGGUAAAAACACAGUGUUUUUGCUUAUUCUCAUUUUCAGUGAAAGUGAUUGUGUGAGGGUUUUUUUUUUUUUAAAUGUAUUUGCUUAAUAGCUUAGUAACACUAGGGUAGGACAGCGACUUCCUUGCAAUUUGGAUGGGCGAUUACCAAAUAAUUCCAUUAGUUUUUUAUUUUUUAUUUAUUUUUUUGCUGUCAGAGGCUAAUUGCAAGUAGUUGCAGUGACCAGCUAGUUGUCUAACGGUUGGGGAUGCAACACCCUAAAAACUCUGGGUGAACUCCUCAAAUCACAAGGCGAUUGGACAAGUUUACCUGAGGUUACAAUUACGGUCUAACUGCAAUCACUCUGCUAGAUUGACAAAGGUUUGCAAAUAAUUGCCGUCUAAUUUAUAAAAUCAGACAGAUUGACAAUAUGUUGCAAUCAAUAGGAGUCAGUCAGUGCUGAUGACUGCAAUUUGUCUGCGAUGUAUCUCUUUGCAGUAGGGGACUUGUUAGCUGGUUGUAUUCUGCUUCUACUACUAUAUAAAAGCAAGGCUGCCGAGCCCGUUUCUCAUUUUUUAGUUAAAUUGCAUGUGUGUCGCUAUUUCUGGAGGAAUUGCUGGUCAAUAAUCUGUGAAUGUAAGUACUUAAAGUGAAUUUCUGCUUAAUGCAAAUUUCUCUGCACAUAACAAUGCAUCAUCGAUUGGCAGUUUUCAGUUAAUGGCCCUAUUAUCACAAACAAAUUGCGCGUAAAUGCCAACAUGACUCCAUACACUUGCAACUGAUAGCAGACUGACUCUAUUUUACUGCCAUUUUAUUGUUGUCUUGAUGCACCAAAGUUGCUUUUGAAGAUGGCAACAGACUGUGAGUGGCUGCUGACUGGCUGACUCGUCUUUGAGGCAACCAUUUCAAAGGCAACAAGAUCCCAUGAUGACUGCAGACGGUUGCAAUCAUUUUGGUCAUGCCAUGGUCUCCAUCCCACUGUUCUGUGAGUCACCAGCAGAUAUUCGGGACACAUCAUCAGUUGUGUUGCUCAGUAUCAUCCAGUGUUUUGUUUUUUUACUCACAAAACAAGUAUGGCUUGUAUUGAAG